rnacentral:rRNA from 1 species
GGGUUGUGAGGUUAAGCGACUAAGCGUACACGGUGGAUGCCCUGGCAGUCAGAGGCGAUGAAGGACGUGCUAAUCUGCGAUAAGCGUCGGUAAGGUGAUAUGAACCGUUAUAACCGGCGAUUUCCGAAUGGGGAAACCCAGUGUGAUUCGUCACACUAUCAUUAACUGAAUCCAUAGGUUAAUGAGGCGAACCGGGGGAACUGAAACAUCUAAGUACCCCGAGGAAAAGAAAUCAACCGAGAUUCCCCCAGUAGCGGCGAGCGAACGGGGAGCAGCCCAGAGCCUGAAUCAGUGUGUGUGUUAGUGGAAGUGUCUGGAAAGGCGCGCGAUACAGGGUGACAGCCCCGUACACAAAAAUGCACAUACUGUGAGCUCGAUGAGUAGGGCGGGACACGUGGUAUCCUGUCUGAAUAUGGGGGGACCAUCCUCCAAGGCUAAAUACUCCUGACUGACCGAUAGUGAACCAGUACCGUGAGGGAAAGGCGAAAAGAACCCCGGCGAGGGGAGUGAAAAAGAACCUGAAACCGUGUACGUACAAGCAGUGGGAGCACGCUUCGGCGUGUGACUGCGUACCUUUUGUAUAAUGGGUCAGCGACUUAUAUUCUGUAGCAAGGUUAACCGAAUAGGGGAGCCGAAGGGAAACCGAGUCUUAACUGGGCGUUAAGUUGCAGGGUAUAGACCCGAAACCCGGUGAUCUAGCCAUGGGCAGGUUGAAGGUUGGGUAACACUAACUGGAGGACCGAACCGACUAAUGUUGAAAAAUUAGCGGAUGACUUGUGGCUGGGGGUGAAAGGCCAAUCAAACCGGGAGAUAGCUGGUUCUCCCCGAAAGCUAUUUAGGUAGCGCCUCGUGAAUUCAUCUCCGGGGGUAGAGCACUGUUUCGGCAAGGGGGUCAUCCCGACUUACCAACCCGAUGCAAACUGCGAAUACCGGAGAAUGUUAUCACGGGAGACACACGGCGGGUGCUAACGUCCGUCGUGAAGAGGGAAACAACCCAGACCGCCAGCUAAGGUCCCAAAGUCAUGGUUAAGUGGGAAACGAUGUGGGAAGGCCCAGACAGCCAGGAUGUUGGCUUAGAAGCAGCCAUCAUUUAAAGAAAGCGUAAUAGCUCACUGGUCGAGUCGGCCUGCGCGGAAGAUGUAACGGGGCUAAACCAUGCACCGAAGCUGCGGCAGCGACACUGUGUGUUGUUGGGUAGGGGAGCGUUCUGUAAGCCUGUGAAGGUGUACUGUGAGGUAUGCUGGAGGUAUCAGAAGUGCGAAUGCUGACAUAAGUAACGAUAAAGCGGGUGAAAAGCCCGCUCGCCGGAAGACCAAGGGUUCCUGUCCAACGUUAA